GGACAGAGAUAGAUAUGUACAAUGAGACCGCCGAUACAGAAAGGGAUACUGCAAGCACAACCCCAGGGAAAUGGUGAAGGUAUGGGCUGAGAAAGAAAAGAGGAAUCUGGACAGGAUGGUGAAAAAUGGAAUUACAUGCCCAACUGCAAUUGAUAUAAAAGAUCAUGUUCUGGUCAUGUUUUGUCUCUUGGAUCUUCUUUAAACAGCAGCCUACAGUUUACUAAUUUCCAGUUUCCAGGUCAUCAGUUGCAUAUAUUUACUUCUACUUAUGGAUGUAGGUUAUGGAGAGCGCCUGUGGAUUCCACUUACUCCUAGAAUGGUAGACAUGCUCAGUGAAUAAGCUAAAGUAAACAAAGCAGGCCCUGAGCCUUUGUUCUCUGUUAAUUAUAUGCAGCAUCUCAGCAAGGAAAAUUUCUGUUCUAGGACACUUUAGGAUGUUGGAAAGGGAUCACUAUCACAUUUGCUUUAGUUAUAGGCAUGGUUAAUGUGCAAUGGACACGUUUUAUGGACAAGUUUAUAUUUUUUGGGUUUAUGUAUUUAUAGGCACCUAGGCAGUGUUAAUUCCUUGUAAAUGUUGGGAUGAAUAUUGCUUAUGGAAUGAAAUGGUUUUUGGAAUCAA